rnacentral:rRNA from 1 species
GACGAACGCUGGCGGCGUGCUUAACACAUGCAAGUCGAACGGUAAGGCCCUUCGGGGUACACGAGUGGCGAACGGGUGAGUAACACGUGGGUGAUCUGCCCCGCACUUCGGGAUAAGACUGGGAAACUGGGUCUAAUACCGGAUAGGACCACUGCCUGCAUGGGUGGUGGUGGAAAGCUUUUGCGGUGUGGGAUGGGCCCGCGGCCUAUCAGCUUGUUGGUGGGGUGAUGGCCUACCAAGGCGACGACGGGUAGCCGGCCUGAGAGGGUGACCGGCCACACUGGGACUGAGAUACGGCCCAGACUCCUACGGGAGGCAGCAGUGGGGAAUAUUGCACAAUGGGCGCAAGCCUGAUGCAGCGACGCCGCGUGAGGGAUGACGGCCUUCGGGUUGUAAACCUCUUUCAGCACCGACGAAGCGCAAGUGACGGUAGGUGCAGAAGAAGGACCGGCCAACUACGUGCCAGCAGCCGCCGUAA